AAUUAAAAUGGAAAAUAAAAAAAACAAAAACAUGAUCAAAAUAUGCCGUCAGCUAGUCCUCAAUUUGAGAUUAUCCGGUACUUAAAAUUAAAAAUUAAAUUUAAAUGUUUAAUCAUCAACACUAUUAGUAUUUUCUACCCAUUCUUUUAUCAAUAUACUCAAUAAAUUUCAUCAGCUUCACAAGCAAAUAAUUAUGAAUUCAGGAAACACACAUUAUACUAAGCAAAUUUUGACA